CUAGAUUUGAAUAUUGAUUUAGAUUUAUAAACACAGGCACACACCCUGGGUUCUAUGAGUCGUCAUUUGCCUCUCUCUGUCCCGGUGGAAGGCCGGUGUCAAAGGUGGAGGCUGGUCGUAGCUGCUUUAUGAAGUAGCAUCACACGUCUUGCUGCAGUGAGGAAUGAGUUGAUAUGGGAAGGCAACGCUUUUGGCUCCAACAGUAACAAUGCAGCGUCGUGUAUCUCUGGACAGAUUCUGAUCCCAAGAAGAAUCUGUGGAUUAUGACCGAUGGAUUAAUAGGCACGAGACAAAAGACCCCUCCGCAUCUCGUCAGAUGUCAAGUUAUAUGUGUAUUCGUGUGUGUGUGUUUGUGUUCGUGUGCGUGUGUGUGUUUGUGUGUGUGUGAUGGUCGUGCUCGCAGCGACGGUUUGAUGGAAUGGAGCCGAGGUGGAGGAGUCGAGGUGGAGGAGCCGAGGUGGAGGAGUCGAGGUGGAGGAGCCGAGGUGGAGCAUCACAGGUGUACCUUCAGGAGUUCGUCACCGAGCAAACAGCCCGCCGCCCCGCGCUGGAACCAACAACCACAAGACUUAUGGAAAACACAAGGACACAUAUAAGUCACGGGGAGACCUGUGUGUGUGUGUUCGUGUGUGUGUGUGUGUGUGUGUGUGUGUGUGUGUGUGUGUGUGUGUGUGAGAGAGACUGUGUGUGUCCUUGUGUUUAUGUCUGUGUGCUUUAAGAAUAGCUUGGAUUCAAUUUGGCAUUUAAAAGAGGUUACUUCAGCAAAAUUGAUCAACGUGCUAUUGCUCCUCUAAAAAUCAACAACAUGGCCAUGUUAUAUUUCUUACACCGUUCUAUUUUUUUUAAAUGUAAUUUCUUUGUGGAUUUAUGAUUCUAGGUUUAUUUCCUUUCUGUAAAGCUGAUAAGAUGUGUUGUGAUUUUUUUUACUGCGUUGAUUUGUAGAAUUAACAUCUUGGCCUCCUCAGCAUCACACAGUCCGUCUCUCUGAAUCCAGUUGAGCAAUUUGUAUGUCUAAUGUUUACAUGAUUGUCCAUAAUAAAUCUGUUUUCUAUUUUGCACUUUCUCCCACUUUCUCGCUCUCUCUACUUCUUCACCCUUUCUAAACUCGCCCCAUCAUCACAAAGAUACACAAAGAUAAACAAAGAUACACCCAUGCACAC
ensembl:lncRNA